GUUCUGGUGCCAGCAGCCGCGGUAAUUCCAGCUCCAGUAGCGUAUAUUAAAGUUGCUGCAGUUAAAAAGCUCGUAGUUGAAUUUCUGUUUGUAAGAGUCGAAGCUUUACAGCUAAGAUUUCUUCGAACAUCUGUUUGCAAGCAUACGUUCGGCCUUCACUGGUUGGCUAUGUAAGCAAGCGCUUUACCUUGAGAAAAUUAGAGUGUUCCAGGCAGGCUUCAGCCGGAAUACAUUAGCAUGGAAUAAUGGAAUAGGACUGGGGACUAUUUAUUGGUUUGAGGCUCCAGUAAUGAUUAAUAGGAACAGUCGGGGGCAUUGGUACUUAACAGUCAGAGGUGAAAUUCUUGGAUUUGUUAAAGACUAACUAAUGCGAAAGCAUUUGCCAAGCAUGUUUUCAUUAAUCAAGAACGAAAGUUAGGGGAUCAAAGACGAUUAGAUACCGUCCUAGUCUUAACUGUAAACGAUUCCAUCUUAGAAUUGGGUGAAUAUUUGAUGAUUCAUCCAGCGCUAUAAGAGAAAUCAAAGUCUUUGGGUUCUUGGUGGAGUACGAUCGCAAGAUUGAAACUUAAAGGAAUUGACGGUUUUGCACACCAUGGAGUGGAGCCUGUGGCUUAAUUUGACCCAACACUGGGAAACUCAUCAGGACAACAAAGUUUUAGGAUUGACAGAUUGAUAGCUCUUUCUUGAUUGACUUAAUGGUGGUGCAUGGCCGUUCUUAGUUGGUGGAGUGAUUUGUCUGGUUAAUUCCGUUAACGAAUGAGACCUUAACCUACUAACUAGUACGACGUGACGAACGUUAGUUACUUCUUAGAGGGACAAUGUGUAUUUUUAACACAAGGAAGUUUAAGGCAAUAACAGGUCUGUGAUGCCCUUAGAUGUCCUGAGCCGCACACGCGCUACAAUGACACUUUCAAUAAGUUUUUGCUGGUCCGACAGGAUUUCGGCUAAUCUUUUUAGUAAGUGUCGUGCUAGGGAUAGAUCUUUGCAAUUGUGGAUCUUGAACGAGGAAUUCCUAGUAAGCACAAGUCAUCAGCUUGUGCUGAUUACGUCCCUGCAAAAUGUACACAUCGCCCGUCGCUUGCUCCGAUUGAGUAAUCUGGUGAGCCUUCUUGACUGAGUAAGUAAUUACGAAGAAAAUUAAGCAAACCAUAUUACUUAGAGGAUGAAGAAGUCGUAACAAAGUUUCCGUAGGUGAACCUGCGGAAG
rnacentral:rRNA from 1 species